rnacentral:rRNA from 1 species
UACGUAGGGUGCGAGCGUUGUCCGGAAUUAUUGGGCGUAAAGAGCUUGUAGGCGGUUUGUCGCGUCUGCUGUGAAAAUCCGGGACUCAACCCCGGACCUGCAGUGGGUACGGGCAGACUAGAGUGUGGUAGGGGAGACUGGAAUUCCUGGUGUAGCGGUGAAAUGCGCAGAUAUCAGGAGGAACACCGAUGGCGAAGGCAGGUCUCUGGGCCACUACUGACGCUGAGAAGCGAAAGCGUGGGGAGCAAACAGG